UUUCCGUAGGUGAACCUGCGGAAGGAUCAUUAUAGAUUGACCGAAAGGUCGUGUCUUCAUCCACACACACCGUGAACCGUUUUGGAGCCCUCAGGGGUUCCGGACAAACAAACCAAAACAAAACGUAAAGAAUGUAAACUAUCGUAAACAAAACAAAACUUUCAACAACGGAUCUCUUGGCUCUC
rnacentral:misc_RNA from 1 species